CCGACAUCUAUAAGUUCUAUGACAUGGCCACUCUGAAGGCUUCUCUCUGGCGACAGAUAACUGUUUCCUACUCUGCGAUUUAAAGUUCUUGGAUAAGACGGUGCCAAAGAAAGAAGUGUCGAUUAGCUUUGGUAUCCGUAUAGCACCGCUAUCGAUAGCGAAGGAGUGAGUGUUCCACGUUAUUAUCGCGCGACUGCGCCUAUUCGACGUGCCUUCGAUCGUCGCGGACGUGCUUGUAGCGGAACAAACGCGUCGAUUCUGUUGCCUAACCUCUCUAUCGGGGCUAGACAAUCGAGCGUUCUGUUUACUAAAGCUUUGUUACCAAGAAGAAAGGAAGGUUUUUUUUCCAGAGUAGUCUAUUGGCGAUUUUUUAUCUAUCGUCAUUAAUUGAAUCACCAUGACAGGUGGAAACACCACUGAAAAAUCAGCUAAUAAUCCUUUGGAGCAGUUUGUACUGCUUGCAAAAACUGCGAAAGGUGCCGCCGCCAUAGAGCUUAUAAGGCAAGCGGUCGAAACGCCUGGUGUUCAUGUCUUUGGCGAAUUACUAGACAUGCCAAAUAUCAAAGAGUUAGAGAACGGGCCUUACGUUCAAUAUUGGAAUACUUUAAAUCUAUUUGCAUACGGCACCUAUAAAGAUUAUCUGGAAAACAAGGAGAAAGUGUUAGAGUUAACUCCUACCCAAAAAAAGAAGCUUCAGCACCUCACAAUUGUCACUCUUGCCACAAAAAACAAAUGUAUACCCUAUUCAGUACUGUUGGAGGAGUUAGACAUAAAAAACGUCAGAGAUCUAGAGGACUUGAUUAUCGAAGCGAUAUACGCCGAUAUAAUCCAUGGAAAGUUAGAUCAAAAAAAUUCACAGUUAGAAGUGGAUUAUGCUGGUUUAGGUCGAGAUGUCCGACCAGGUGACACCGGUGUUGUAGCUGAGACACUAGCUGCCUGGGGUGAAGCAUGUGAUACAGUUCUAUCGUGUAUCGAAGAACAAAUAUCUAGAGCUAAUGUUGAGAAACAAAGAGCUACUUACCAUAAAGAAAGAAUACAGAGAGAUAUUUCUAAUAUAAAGAAAUCUCUUGCGGCUCAAGCAGGAGGUGGAGGCAUUCAAGAGGCUGAUAUGGCUGGUGGUAGUUCUGGUGCAGGUGGAAGCGAAGCGGGUAGAGAAGCCUUGCCGGUACUGUCAGAAAAGAAGAAGUUACAGAAAGUCAAAUGUAUCAAAGUCAGUGAUUAUGAAGUGAAUGAUGAAUGAAAAGGUUAUGAAUGAGAAGGGCAAUAUUGAAACGAAUUUAUUAAUCAUGUAUAAAAUAUAACCCAAACACUGAAUCGAAAAUUCUUUAUGUAUCUGAAAUAUUGAGUUUGUAGAAACUUUUAAAGCAAAGUAGAAAAAUAAUAUUUUAUACAACGUGUUCUAAGUAUAUAGCAUCGAAUUGUAUACAUUAAAUAUGUAUGAGUACUCAAUUUUGUGACAUUUAUGGAUUCAAUGUUAUAAUAACAAAUAAAAUCAAGAGUACCUUUUUUUUACAAAAUAUAUUUGUAAUAUUGAUUUAUUGAUACACCUCGGUAUAAGAAGCCUUUUAGAAAAAUCGACAUUUAAGUAUAAAUUUCCACUUUAAUAACUGCAAAUAUUUAGUGGGAAGUGUAUAAAAAGAGCGAUAGAUUUCAUACUUUUACUGUGAUCAUUUUAAAUAUCACGACUAGUAUUUGUUGUAUAAGCUAUUUCAGUACUGCUGUUAGCAUAAAGUUUAACGUUUAUUCACGGAAUUGAUUGUUUAUUAUUUAUUUACAUUGAACACAAAAUAAUAAUAAUAUGUACGAGGUAUACGUAACGAAGUAUAUGUGAUGAUUGUCUUUACAUCGAGCGUUUAAAAAAUAAAAAAAAAACAAUGAAUCUUUUCUUUGUGACAAAGAUAAUUUUGUAGGUAAGCUCGAAUAUUCUUGUAAUAUACCUGUUUAUUUUUUUAGACCAAAGACAUCAUGUUUUGUGUUUGUAGGGCGUGAAGAAUUUAAUUAGGAUUUGACGAUUCUCUAGAUGAAUUUGAUAAAUAAUGCAACGUGUAUUGCAUAUUUAUCAAUGCAUACGUGCCUACCCCAUUGCCAGUUAUCACAUAAAACGGUAUGCCCAUUGUGACGAGUUGGCUUACGUGUACUUCCAACGAUAGUACCGUUCGUACUGUUUGCGUUCAGACUUUACAGAUUCUCGUUUUGUAAGGAUUUGUAGUCGCUAAACGAUUUACUGACGGAACAAUGCGUAACUAGUCGGAGAGGUCGUUUUUGAAGGAACUUGUAUAUUCAAAAAAUUGUAAAGGAUCUGCUACUGAUCCACUAACGGUCGAUGGGACAAGUUGGGAAUAAUGACCAAGAAUGAAUAGAUGAAACCUUGUGGCAUACCAAGUUGAUCGGAUACUUAUAUCUCUCUCUCUUUUCCUUUUUUCUUUCUCUUUUUCUUUUGAUUUUGAUGUUAGAGUUUCUCCUGUAACCUUUGUAGCUUUUAAAAAUAAAAUAUUUUUGAAUUGUCUUAUAUUUAUUGUAAGUCGCAUAUUAAAAAAAAAAAAAUAAAAUUAUGUUGACUAAA